UCUCUGGUCAAGCAUGGCUUAUGGCACCUAAUGGGUGCCAGCUCAACUCAUUACAUCUGACAAAGUCUCAAGAAAACAGAGUUUACCAGAUUUAUCCAUUUUUAUGUUUAAGUUAACAAAGACGGAGGAAAUCAUCCAAGUGACCCAUCAUAGAGCACUUCCAGUUCUAAAGAAUACUGACUUACUUCAGGUGACAACACACUACCAUUUUUAAGUUUCUCGUCCACACUGUUUCUUCGUCUCUGUAGCUGAUCCUUCUCUUUCUGGAGGGCCUGAACUUGUUCAGAAAUCUUUAUUUUCUCCUCAGCCGUGCUGCGUUGCAGCUCUACAUUCUUUUCAGACAACUCUUGGUCCAACAAGUUCAGGCGAGUUGAUAUUUUCAAACUAUCUAUGUUUAAGACCUAAAAAGACACAAUCAACCAAACACCCCAAAAACAGUUAUUAGAAACCCAAACUGCAUAUAAAUUAGGAAAAACAGAAAAAAGUUACUAACUGAAUAUAUUUUGAGCUUCCACAUUAUUGUUUUCUCUUAUGGAGUUUUUUGGGCUGGGGGGUUCAUUUUUUAAAAUCUUAAGUCGAAUGCCUUUUUUUUUUUUUUUUUUUAAUGGAGAUUCCAAUGAUGAAUUUACUGCCAAGUAUUGCUUGGCUAUACCAGACUACAGAGUAUUGGUUUUAAGAGGUAACAGUUUUUGGGGGGCGCCUGGGUGGCUCAGUCGGUUAAGCGUCUGACUUCGGCUCAGGUCAUGAUAUCACGGUCCAUGAGUUCGAGCCCCGCGUCGGGCUUUGUGCUGACAGCUCAGAGCCUGGAGCCUGUUUCAGAUUCUGUGUCUCCCUCUCUCUAUGACCCUCCCCCGUUCAUGCUCUGUCUCUCUGUCUCAAAAAUAAAUAAACGUUAAAAAAAAAUUAUUUUUAAAAAGAGGUAAUUUUUUUUUAAUUAUUUUUUAAAUUAAACUUUUCUUCCUUGGCCUGUUACACAGUUAUAUGAUCUGUAACUAUAAGUUCUCUAUAGGUUGAGAUUUGGUUUGUUGUUUAAACAUAUAAUUUGUUUCUGCUCUUAUUUCAUUCUGGUCAGAAAAUAUGGCCAAUUAGAGUAAUGGAGAUCUUCAUUAUGGCCUAACUUAAAAGAAUUUUUUUUUAAGAAAAUUUUUAAGGUGCACCUGAGUGGCUCAUUCGGUUAAGUAUCCAGCUCUUGAUUUUGGCUCAGGUCAAGAUCUCACAGUGAGUGUGAGCCUUGCGUCAGGCUCUAUGCUGGUAGUGUGGAGCCUGCUUGGGAUUCUCUCUCUCUUCCUCUCUCUCACAACUUCCUGGCCCAUGUUCUGUCUCUCUCAAAAUAAACAAACAUUAAAAAAAGAAAAUUCUUAAAAUAGAUUUUCAUCUAAGUAAUUACAUGUAUAUAUACCACAGGUUUAAAAGUUUUUUAAAAAGCAGUCUCCCUACCCCACCCUCUUACCUGAGUCCCACUCUCCAGAAACAACUAUCUUCAACCUUUCUAGCUAUUUCUGCUUGUGUUAAUGUCCAUGUUUCUAAAUAACAUAACCAAUUUCAAAUAGUGCCCAUAGAUGGACUAUUAUGGAAGACGAGCACUUGGCACUAUUAUGCCUCCUCUAUUUCUCCUCCCUCUAGUCUCCCAGUAUAAGGUGUAUUACAGUUUUAUGUUAAAUCAAUAUUCAGUUCACAUAGCUUUGUGAGUAUUAUUCACAGCUCAAAUGUCUCGUAUAAAAUUAUCAUUUCCCAUAGGGUAUGACUGCUGGUAUGUUCUACUAAUUCUUCUCCAAUACAAUUAUACAGUUCCUCUCAAUACUGGUUUUUUUCACUUGACCAAAACAUAAAUCAGGUCAUCUUUUUGUUCUAUUCUUUUUCUGGAAACAUUUUGCCUGAAAUCUCCAUCCUCCUGCUCCAAACUGGACUAGUUAUUCUGGAACUUCCUUUUAGUAUUAUCCCUGGAAUUUCCAUGUUGGAUCACACUUUCAGUACCCCAAGUCUUCCUUUUUCAUAGCUGAUGCCCUCAUUUUUGUGGAGCAUAUCCUCUAGUAGUUUCCUGAGAGAUGAGGUCAGAGAUCAUUCUUUUCACUUGAAAAUGCCCUUAUUCUGCCUCCAUAUUUGAUUCAGAGUUAGGCUCAAAAGAAGUCUUGAUUGGAAAUAAUUUUCCUUGUGAGUUGGAAGACUGCUGCAGGUCUUUUAGUGUCUACUGAAGAAGGUUGAGAAGUCCAAUAUCAUUCUGAUUGUUGAGAUUUACAAGUGACUCAUGUCUUCUGUCUGGUAGUUUUCAGGAUCUUUUUUUUUUUUUUUUUCCUCAGUAUACUUAAAACUUCACAGUGAUAAGCUUUUGGCACUCAUUUUGCAGGCCCUUGAUGACCAAUUUCCAUCUAGAGUCUCACAUCUUCAGUGCUGGGAAAAUUUUUGUAUUGUCUUUGAUAGUCCCCUCUUCUGUUUUCCCUGUUAUAGCUUUCUGAAAUUCCAUUUCUUGGACGUUGGACUUCUGGAUUUAUCUGCCAAUUAAAUUUUUUUUCUCUUAUUUUCUAUUAAUUUAUUCUUUUAUUUACUUUCUGGGAUAUUUUCUCAAUGUUAUCCUCCAACGCUUUAAAUUUCCAACAGUUCUCGGGGUGCCUGGGUGGCUCAGUCAGUUGAGCAUCUGACUCUUGAUUUCGGCUCAGGUCAUGAUUCCAAGGUCAUGGGAUUGAGCCCUGUGUUGGGCUCCGUGAUGAGUGUGGAGCGUGCUUAAGAUUCUCUCUAUCUCCCUCUCUGUCCCUCUCUCCCUCUCGCAUGUUCUCUCUCUAGAAUAUAAAACAUAUGUUGAAAAAAUUAAAAAUAAAAUGUUUAAAUUUCUAGCAGUUCUCAUUUUAUGGAUAGACUAUAUAAUCUUUCAACACCUUGAGAAUAUUAAAGGUUUUUUGAAAGUUUUUUUCAGUUCCUUCCUCUAUUUCUGAUGUCUCUGAGCUUCUUUUUUUCUUUUGGACUCUGACUUUCAUGUUAGUAGCAUUCCUGACAUGGAUGUCACAUUUAAGAGUUAGGUAUGAAAAUGCUGAUAAGUUCUGUAGUAGGUAUACUUUGUCACCAUGGGAUGUAUCUGGGGUCUGGCCACUUAGUUGGGGGCCCCCAAAGGUGUUUUUAGGUCUUUCUUCAUGGACUGUUUCAGAAAAUCCAACAAUGUCUUGUUUGGAAGUAUAAAUCUGGCUGUCAGCAUUUUGGGAUCCAAGUAGGUGUUGAAAUGGCUAUCUCAGGAUUCCUACGUAGACUGACUUUUAUUCAUUACCUCUUUUGAGUAUUCUGACUUACCGUGACCAUCUGCUGUACCUGGUUCAAGCUUCAGAAAAUAAACCGUCUGGUCUUCAAAGUGAGAAAAGGGUGGUUUCCUGAUGAUGUCGUUUCCAUCCUAUGCCUCACUUCUGCCUUCUGAAAAUCUUAGUCCCUUCAUUUCGGAGUCUUUUUGUAUUCUAUGUGAAUUCUAUCUCAUAAAGGUAUCAUUACUAAAAAAAAAAAAAGUUUUUUUACAUUUAUUUAUUUUUGAGAGACAGAGCACAAGUGGGGGAGGGGCAGAGAGAGAAGGAGACACAGAAUCUGAAGCAGGCUCCAGGCUCUGAGCUAUCACACAGAGCCUGACGCAGGGUUUGAACCCACAAACCAUGAGAUCAUGACCUGAGCCGAAGUCAGAUGCUCAACCAACUGAGCCACCCAGGCACUCCUCUCAUAAAGGUAUUAUUAAAAAAAACAAAAACAAACAAACAAAAUACUAGGGGUGCCUGGGUGACUUAGUUGGUUAAGGGUCUGACUUUGGCUCGCGGUCUGUGAGUUUGAGCCCCCACUGGGCUCUGUGCUGACAGCUCAGAGCCUGGUACCUGCUUUGGAUUCUGUGUCUCCCUCUCUCUCUGCCCCUAUCCCGCUCAUGCUCUAUCUCUCAAAAAAAACAAACAAACAAAAAAACAAAAAAAAAAAACUCAUGCUACAGCUCUCAUUCAUGUCCCUCUUAAGCUCUCAAGGCAUUUGGAUUCCAGCCUCUUCUGCUAAGUAAGUAACUACUUACCUAUACCUUCCCAUCUUACAUUUUUUGGUAAUCUUUAGUCUUCUGUAUCUUUUUUUUUUCCUUUAUGGGCUUAUAGCUUUUUUUUUGAGUAAUAGCUUUAUUGAGAUCUAAUUCACAUACCGAACAAUUCACCUAAUUAUUUAUUUUUAAAGAUUUUAUUUUAAGUAAUCUCUAUACCCAAUAUGGGUCUUGAACUCCCAAUCCUGAGACCAAGAGUUGCACACUCCACAGACUGAGCCAGCCAGGCGCCCCUAAGUCCCCGAUUUAAGUGUAUAAUUCAAUGGCUUUUAGUACUCUCACAGAGUUGUGCACCCAUCACCACAAUCAAUUUUAGAACGUUUUCAUUGUCCUCAAAAAUAAAACCCCAUGCCCCCUAGCAGUCAUUCCACUCCCCAUUCCCCACUCAGCCCUAAGCAACCAUUAUUCUACUUUUUGUCUCUACAGACUUGCCUCAUCUGCACAUUGAUAUAAAUUACAUGUACAUACAACAUGGGUCUUUCAUGACUGGUUUCUUUCCCUUAACACAAUGUUUUUGGGGUUCAUCCAUGUGGUAGCAUGUAUCAGAACUUCAUUCUUUUCUAUAGCUGAGUAACAUACCCUAGUACGGAUAUACCACUUUCUGUUUAUCCCAUUCAUCGGCUAAUGGGACAUUUGAAUUUUUUUCAUUUUGAGGCUAUUGUGAUUAAUGCUGUUAUGCACAUUCAUGUACAAGCUUUUGUGUAGACAUGUGCUUUCACUUCUCUUGGAUAUAUACCUAGGAGUGGAGUGGCUGGGUGACAUAGUAAUGCUAUGAUUAACCUUUUGAAGAACUGUAAGAUAGUUAUCCAAGGCAACUGUACCAUUUUACAAUCCCACAAGCAGUGCAUUAAAAUUCCAAUUUCUUCAUAUUGUCGCCAACACUUAGUGUCUAUUUUCCUGACUACAGCAAUCCCAGUAAGUGUGAAGGAGUAUCUCAUCUAUGUUUUGAUUUGCAUACCCCUGAUGGCUACUGAUGUUUCAUAUGUUUAUUGGCCAUUUGUAUAUCUUCUUUGAGAAAUGUCUACUAGAUCCUUCACCCAUUUUUAAUUGAAUUGUCUUUUUAUUACUGAGUUAAGACUUCUUUAUAUAUUCUAGAGACAAGUCCUUUAUCAAGUAUAUGAUUUGCAAACAUUUCUCCCCAUUCUGUGGGUUGUCUUUUCAACACCAACUUUCUUGGUGUCCUUUGCAUAACAAAUGUUUUUAAUUUUGAUGAAGUCCAAUUUAUCUAAUAUUUCUUUUAUUGCUUUUGCUUCAGGUAUAGCAAAGAAACUAUUGCUUAACCCAAGAUCACAAGGAUUUACACCUUUGUUUUUUCCUAAGGGUUUUAUAGUUUUACCUCUUACACUUAGGUCUGCGACUUACUUUGAGUUGAAAUCGUAUAUGGUAUGAAAAUAGGUUUUUUUAUAUCACAUUCCAUGUCCAAAAUACAUAGGAUUGAACCUUAUAAAUAUUUCUUAAAACACUGGAAAAAAAUGUAAUCUAUUCACACCUUUUGUUCAGGAAAGAACCCAGCAGUAUAACAUCACCAAGUUUCUCUUCUGUUUCAUUAAAACAAUCUUCAAAGAAUCAAUUUUGCUUUGCUGUGCUGUGGGUUUCAUUUAUUUGUACUCUCUACUUACCUCAGUAUGUUCUUGCUUCCUAAAUUUUACAUCUUGUUCAAAGUAGAAAACUUCAAUUUUUCCCCCCUGUAUCAUGAAGUAAACUUAUUUUAGGAGAAAGUUUUUUUUGUUUUUUGUUUUUUCCUCUUUUUUCUUUUGCGAUAUGGAACAUAUAGUAAAGGUCCCAGUUUAUUUUCUUCUAUUUACACAUUGAUAUUUAAAUGUGUUCAUCUCUCUUGCUGUCAUUUACAUGUUUUGAGGGGUAGCUUUUCAAACUCGGCCCUGACAGGGGCAUCUGGCUGACUCCACUGGAGGAGGGUGCAACCUGUGAUCUCAGGGUAGUGAGUUUGAGCUCCAUGCGAUGUGUAGAGACUACUUAAAAAUAAUAAUAAACUUAAAAAAUAAAAAAAUAUAUAUAAAAGUAAAAAUAAAACUUGGCCCUUACAGCAAGCGUGAGCAAGCUACCUGAUACAGCACCAACAACAAGCCUGGUUAGAGGGGCUGCCCCUAUCCCUGGGUGCCAAUAGCUAUUCAACAUGAAUGGGGAAAGGAGGACAGAGCAGAGGUAAGUUCAGGUUUCCACACUUGUCUGCCUGUUGUAUUGAGGUGGAGAGGCUAAGAACACACGACCAUUAUCUCAGAUCUUACUGGUCUAGAUGCAGCCUGAAAGGAAGGUCUACUAAAGAGGCAGGUCAUUGAUCCUUGCUGUUCAAUUACUCAAUGUAUAGACUGUCCUCGGCCUGAUGGGCAGAAAGUCCUCCUCAAGUGUGGGGCAAGCCAGCUUCAUUUUCAGAUGCUGUUAUUGCUAUAGUUGAAAAUAUACAUAGCUACAUCCAAAAAACGUAUCCCCUGGUUCUUCUAUUCCUUCCAUAAUCAUUCCUUUUUCAAAACCUGAAAUUGAGGCAAACCCCUUCAUAAAAAUCACUUCUUUGGCUCAUAAAACCCACGUUCUCCAGCAAAAGUUCUUGUAAAGGUCCCCAAGUCAUUAUAAUUUGAAAACUGAACAAAUCUUCAUCACGUAAAAUCUCUCUUUUACAGCAACCCUGCAAACCCCUAACUUUGGGUAGUAGUGAUAGCUAGAUCAUUUUUUUUUAAAUAUUUAUUUAUUUUUGAGAGAAAGGGAGAGACAGAGUGCGAGGAGGGGAGGGACAGAGACAGAGGGAGACACAGAAUCUGAAGCAGGCUCCAGGUUCCGAGCUGUCAGGACAGAGCCUGAUGUGGAGCUUAAACUCACAAAUGGUGAGAUCAUGACCUGAGCUGAAGUAGGACGCUCAACCAACUGAGCCACCCAGGCACCCCAAUAGCUAGAUCAUUUUUAAGUCUAUUUUCCCAAAUUACCAGUGUUCUCUAUACAGCAUCAAAUGGUACAAUUUAUUUCUUAAAUAUCCACUAAAAUUAAUAACCGAGGUUGCAGGGAGAAAAGGAGAGUUACUGCUUAAUGGUUAUAGACUUUCUGUUUGGGGUAAUAAAACAUUUUGGAAAUAGGGUUAACAUUGUGAACGUAAUUAAUGCCACUGAAUCACACACUUAAAAAUGGUCAGAAUGGCCAAUUUUAUGUUAUGUCUAUUUUACCAUAAUUUUUCAAAUACCCAAAAAUGUUAAUAAUAAUAUACUUGGCAGAACAUUGAACCAAUGAACAUUGAACAUCCGACUUCAAAAUUGCAAUAGAUUUUAGUAGUGGUCAUUAAAUAAGCACUAAUAUGCAAAAAUACAUUGAAAACCAGAAGAAUUUUCUUUUGGUUUCUAAUUUCAUAGUAGUAUGCUUUACUUCUUAGAGAGAAAGGUAAUCCUAGUUUAUAUGGCUUACACCCAGAAUCCAAGAGCAUAACAAAUAGCAUACCUGGCUGGAUCUCAACUUCUUAUUUUCCAGGUGGCUCUUCUCCUGUAACAGGGCCUCCUUCUUACAAACUAUGGCCUCUCGUUUUUUUAAAUCUUCUUCCAGCUCCUCCAAUUCUUGGCGUUGGUUCAGGACUUUUUCUACUUCUUCAUCUAACCAUUUCUUUUGCUCAUCCAAUUUCUACAUUAAAAUUUCAAAGAAACGUUAUUACAUCAUUUAUUUUUCUUCUGCCAUAGGAUGUAUAUUGUAAUAAUGCAAUUUCAGAUUGGCUAAAAUACCUUAAAUGAACAUUUAAAAACUAUUGGUGAGAAUAACAAAACAGUGUUCCUGUCUAAAAUCAUUAGGAAGUGGUUCCAGUUAACAUCUUGCUGUGUUUUAUAGGGAAUUAAGAUGUAUUCUCCGAACAUGUUUGAGUCUGGGAUUUUCUAAGUUGACAAAAGGACUGACAAUUUUUCCAUACAUAUAUUAAGA
rnacentral:lncRNA from 1 species